rnacentral:ncRNA from 2 species
UUAAACGCCGCGGUCGUCGGUGCCUCUCGCAAGGGAGGUGAAACGGGAAUGCGGUGCGGGACGAUGUCCCAAGGCCGCGGCUGCCCUCGCAACUGUAUGCGGAUCGAGACGUCCAACAUGCCACUGGCCGAUCGGCUGGGAAGGCGGACGAGGAGAUAUCCGCGAGCCAGGAGACCGGCCGGCGACGUCGAUCUUAC